rnacentral:rRNA from 1 species
AGCUUGGUGGUUAUAGCAUGAGUGAAACACAC